CAAUACUUUACAAUUGUCCGUUUUCGUAUUGUUUGUAUCCGAAAUAAAUGAAGCUCUCAGUUAAUUUUCAUUGUUGUUUCUUUUCAGUUAAGAAGUUUUGAAAAAUAUUUUGAUUUGGCAAGUGUCUCACGGAAAAUCGAAGUGGAAUAAAACAGUUAAAGGAACACUAUCGCCAGGGUUAACGGCGCUUCAACUUGGAAUUUUCUUUUGACAUUUUUCUUACGGAUGCCAAACGGAAGAAUCAGGAUGAGUAGCUUUAUUUUUACACAUUUCUUUCCUUUAAUAUCGUAAUGUUUAAUUUAAGGAUUUUGAUAAGAGAUAAUAAGGUGUUUUGCCAAUUUCAAUUAGUAUCGAAGCUUGUAUUUUAGUAAUAUUUUACGUCAUAAUUUCAUGAAAUAAUUACUCUAUACAUUUUUUAAUAACUCACCUGAAAAUAUCUUCUUCUAUACAAUUGAUACACGGUGGUACCAUAUUAAAUGUCGUAUCAGUAGAACAGUAAAUAUAAUACGACGCUCUUUUUACAUCUGUAAUUAAUUGUAUGGAUGACAAUAUGGGAAAUUAUUACACAACAUCGCUGAUAUCUUACAUUUUUGAAUUCACCUUACGAACUCAGACCAUUUACAUUCCACUACUCUAAUACCUUUAUCAACUCACUAACAUCUGCAGUACUUUCCAAAUCAACCAUGGUGUUUUUUUUCUAUCUUCACAGCCGAUAUUGAAAUACUUUUGCUGACUUGUCACGUUGUCUUCCUAAAUUGUUAUACAUUUUUUAGUGUUUACACACAAUUUUUUAAAUUCUUCAAACAGUUGCCUUCUUUAUACAUUUUGCUUUUAUUUUAGAGUUUCUCAAAAACGAAAAAUUAAAGAGCAGAACUUGAUAAAAGAUAUACAACACAAACGCCUGAGAACAAUAUCACACUAAUCAAUAUAAGGUAAAAUGUUAAACAAAUACACACAGAAUAUCUCAAUGAAAAAAUAAACACCUGUAAAAAAAAAUACACCAACACAAGUAAAAAACAAUUAAAUCUCUAAAACAACACUACAUCAAAAUGUAUCAAAUCAAAUAUUCAACACUACAAAACGAAUCUAUGAAACUCAUAACGUAAAAAAUUAAUACAACUGAAAACAAUACUACAUCAGGACAGACAAUGAGAAUAAAUUUAUUUGACAUAGAAAUGAAUACAUCAUCAAAGAGAAAAAGAUAAAACAAACAUUUUUAUGUUAAAUAUGUUAUAUUAAAUGCAGACGUGUUCGUGUACAUCAAUCUUCAUAGAUUUACAAUUUUGUAACUUGAAUUAGAAAUCUCCAUAAUUUCAGAUGAUUCACUGAGUCGAAUGCAGCCCUAAAAUCUACAAAUAAGUAUACACUUUUCGACUUUUUUUGCAAGUUUUACUUUUAACAAAUUCCAUAAAACAAAUAUAUGGUCCACUGUAUAAUAUGAAAACCCGCUUGCAUCUCUGACAAGAUUUUCUCACUCUCUUCCCAUAAUAACAGUUUUUUACAUAGGAUCAUUGAGAAGAUUUUACUAACUGUGUUCAACAGAGCUAUUCCUCUAUAAUUGCUUUCAUUGUUUACAUCAUCUGAUUUGAAAAUGAAAAAUAUUCUCGCCAUUUUCUAGCUAUUACACUAUAUUCCGGUUACCAAAACUUUGUUAAAAAUGUCAAACAAUUUCUAGUUUAAUCGCUCGUCAGCCAAUUUCCAACAUUCCAUCGAAAUACCGUCCAGGCCAACCGCUUUAUCUGACCUUUCUUCUCUCAAAACAAAAUCUAGUUCAUGAGAAAUAUUUGUAUCUAGAUAACUUACAGGUCUCUAAACGAACAAUUUAAUUAACUAGAUUAGUGGUUCCCAACCUUUUUUCAUUAGCGUACCCCGUGACAUGUCAUAUCUCUAG